rnacentral:lncRNA from 1 species
AGUAACAUAGAAUGUUGAUUGUCCUGAGUUCCAGAGCCUCAAAGAGCACCCAGCAUAACUGUGGGAGAAUAGUAAGCAUUGGACACAAAAUGAGUGAAGAAAAGGAGUAAACGUAAAGAUCUACCCCAAUGUAUUUUACAAAAACAUCUACUUGGAAAUACCGUGGUUUAUUAUUCCUGGCGACACAACUUGGCAUUUUUUUCCCCUUUCUGUUGUGCUUCAUUUUAUUGCGCUUCACAGAUACUGAGUUUUUACUUUUUUUCUUUUCUAGUGUUUCUUUGUUAUUUCUUCAGCCUUUAUUUUAAGUUCCUACUCACUUGCAAAUUUUUUUACAGAGUACGAAUGAAUGCCUGAAAGUCAAAGUAUAUGUACCCCGGAACAACUUGUCAUUUAACAACAAAAACAAAACUUUGACAUUCAGGCCUUCAUUUGUACUCUGUAAAAAAUCCGCAAAUGAAUAUUUUCUGAAGGGAAGGAAAGAAGCACCUUUACCAUUUUGUUAUUCUCUUGUUAUCUGUGAAGUUUGAUUUAUUGGAAACUACCAAGAAAGAAAUUAGCAGAAAUCAUCACAGCAAGACUCUUUAAGGAAUGGAUGGAAUUUAGAAAGGAAUUAGCUGGAAAAAAAUGCAAAAUUUUUAAGUGCCAAUUUUCCAUUUAAUUUUCACCAGCAAUCCCCAUUUCACGAAUGCUGUUUCUGAGCUUGAAAUGUCAAAAUAAUCAAAAAUAAACAUAGCUCACGUACUGAAUUUUAUCAUUAAAA